AUUGAACGCUGGCGGCAUGCCUUACACAUGCAAGUCGAACGGCAGCACGGGAGCAAUCCUGGUGGCGAGUGGCGAACGGGUGAGUAAUAUAUCGGAACGUGCCCAGGUCGUGGGGAUAACGUAGCGAAAGCUACGCUAAUACCGCAUACGAUCUAUGGAUGAAAGCGGGGGAUCGCAAGACCUCGCGCGAUUGGAGCGGCCGAUAUCAGAUUAGGUAGUUGGUGAGGUAAAGGCUCACCAAGCCGACGAUCUGU
rnacentral:rRNA from 1 species